GACGAACGCUGGCGGCGUGCCUAAUACAUGCAAGUCGAACGCUGAAGGAGGAGCUUGCUCUUCUGGAUGAGUUGCGAACGGGUGAGUAACGCGUAGGUAACCUGCCUGGUAGCGGGGGAUAACUAUUGGAAACGAUAGCUAAUACCGCAUAACAGUAGAUGUUGCAUGACAUUUGCUUAAAAGGUGCAAUUGCACCACUACCAGAUGGACCUGCGUUGUAUUAGCUAGUUGGUGGGGUAACGGCUCACCAAGGCGACGAUACAUAGCCGACCUGAGAGGGUGAUCGGCCACACUGGGACGGAGACACGGCCCAGACGCCUACGGGAGGCAGCAGUAGGGAAUCUUCGGCAAUGGACGGAAGUCUGACCGAGCAACGCCGCGUGAGGGAAGAAGGUUGUCGGAUCGUAAAGCUCGGUUGUAAGAGAAGAACGAGUGUGAGAGUGGAAAGUUCACACUGUGACGGUAUCUUACCAGAAAGGGACGGCUAACUACGUG
rnacentral:rRNA from 1 species